CAUCCAUCUAGGCACAAGGACAAACAUACAUAUACAUAUUCACAGAUACACAUCUAUGUGUACCAGAAUCCUCACUUACUGGGUAAAAGAUGCUGUGAUCAUCCCUUGUUGACUGGAAAGCAUCCAGUUGAUGUUCCCACCUCCUAUGCUCAAGAGAUCCCUGGUGUGAAGGGGAAUUGCAACAGAGAGGUUGAACAUGGGAAGAGAUGGAAACGGUAGCCAGCUUGUCUGCUAGUUGGAGAUGAUGGGAAUUGUAGUCACAUACAUCUGGGGGUUCCCAGACUGGAGAAAGCAAUUCCAGGAUAUUGUUCAAAAAGCUAUUUGUUGUCCCAGCUGUGAAGUUGUCUUUUUCUGACAUUGACCAUCUUGGUUCAAGGAUUCUGGGGGCUGCAGCUCAAAAAUGAUUAAAACCUACAAGUUCAACAAAUGUUUUGUGAGAGAGGAGCUGAGUAAACCAUCCCAGCUGUAGCCAAGUCACACAUCAAGAGAGCUCAACAGCAGUGGCCUCAAGCUAUUUUCUUGCCGCUUGUGUUGACACUGGCACACAUCCAAGGGCCCUUGGGAAAGGCCAGAGUUUCCAAGGAAUGGAAAAGGUGGGGCAGUACUAAGGGAAUAGGUUGCGGCUUCCUCUAUUGCAAAGAAAAGCAUCUGAGCAAGAAAGGCUUGAGGAGGAAAGCCAAUGCCAGUACAACAAAGGAGACAAGAGGACACGUUGGCAGGGGGGACCUUGACUGUCCUCGCUUUUGGAUUCCCAGGCUGAGAUCUUACAUUGCUUUGGGGUGAUAGGAGAAGUGUCUGGCUAUGCUCCAGACGCAAACCAAGAACCAUCUACAAUUACCUCAUAAGGACCUCCUGACAUCUCAGCAAAGGAUGUUAUCAGUCUGCAUCUAGCUACAGGAACAUAGCCAGACACUUAUUCAAUCCCUUCUCCUGUCUACCAGCAACACAAAGGUUGUUGUGGCACCUGUUUCAACAACAUGGUGCAUUCAAUGGAGAAGGAGGGCUUCAAUCAUUGUAGAGGACAAAAGGGAUGGCCACUUCUGCAAUUAUAUAUGCAUAUAAUCAAGGCAGACAGUGGCCUCAGUGAGGAGGAAAAAGGGAAUAUAUAUAUAGAGAGAGGGGGUGGGAGGCCCCAGUGGCACACCGGAUUAAACUGCUAAGCCGCUGAACUUGCUGACCGAAAGGCUGGCUGUUUGAAUCCUGGGAGCAGAAUGAGCUCUCGCUAUUAGCUUCAGCUUCUGCCAACCUAGCAGUUCGAAAACAUGCAAACAUGAGUAGCUCAAUAGGUACCGCUUCUGCGGGAAGGUAACGGUGCUCCAUGCAGUCAUGCUGGCCACAUGACUAGGAGGUGUUUACAUACAACGCCAGCUCUUCGGCUUAGAAAUGGAGAUGAGCACCAACCCCCAGAGCCGGACACGAUUAGACUUAAUGUCAGGGGAAACCUUUAGCUUUACUUAUACAUAUACAUAUACAUGUGUGUGUAUGUGUGUGUGUAUAGAGAGAGAGGUCUUUAAAAGAAUCACAAAAGUAUACUUAAAAAUUAUGCUCUCCUGUUAUGAGACUGGAAAAUUUGCUUUCUUGGAUAACAGUGUCCAAAACUUCCUAGUCACCAUAGCCACUUUAACCCAAUUAGACCCCAGCCUUUGGCAGACAUUAGUAAUUUUAUUGUCUUGGGCAAGGUAUUGCUUUUCAUUCUACACUGGCAUAUAAAAUCUACAUUAUCUGUUUUGGACUGGAUUAUAUGGCAGUGUAGAAUCAUAUAAUCCACUUCAAAGCAUAUGUGGAUUAUCUGAUUUGAUAAUCUGGAUUAUAUGGCAGUGUGGACCCAGCCUCACCCACCACACAAAAUAUAAUUACCCUGUGUGUUAGAGAUUGCUUGUAGGAUGGGAGUAACCCUCUUGACAAGGUUGUUCUAUGCCUCUCCAUGUUUGUAGGGCAAUUCUAAUCCCCCAGGAAUAUCUCUGUCACAGUGCUUUUGGGUUGAUGCAUACACUUUACCUUUUGCUAAUUUCAACCAGCAAUGAAACUAUUUGUAAGCUAUAUUAAAAAGGUAAAUGUAUCUGGCUAAUUCACAGGAGACAGUGAUCAAAAUUCUAUAUCAUAUCAUUGUAUCAUAAUUAUCAGCUAGCACAGUCAUGCUAUGCUAACAACAUCUGUUAUUGGGAUAUCGUGCUGUAAAUCAAUACAUCAUAUUGAUAAAAUAAUAAAAUAAACACAGGCCUCUUAUAAUACAAAUGUAACCAUGUCCCUUUAAAAAUUUCAUCACAUAAGGACUACUGCUUUAAAAAAACUCGAAUGUCCUUCCAAUUGCCUGUAUUUUUCCUUGUCUAUGUAUUUGGGCUCUAUCGGUGCUAGUGACUGCAUUUUUUCUAGUAUGUCUUAUAAACUAGCAGAGUAAAACAACUAUUUUUACCUUAACUCUCAUUAUGACUCAUAUUUUGUGAUGCUGCUACGUUAGCUUUAACUAUAGCACUCCCUUCUCUUCUUUCCCUACUCAGAGCUACUUGUUGGAGAACUGGGGGAAUUAUAUUUUCAAAUACUAUCACACCAUGUCACAAGCUCCUGUGAGGAAGUCAGAUUGCACAAUAGUCCACAUGCUCAUUUUCCACAGACAGAGUUCCUUUUUUCCUUAAAAACACAGGGAGAAAUUAUAUGCUUGUCAACUCAAUAUAUUUGUUAAAACAGUUUCCUUCCCCCUCCCUUGCUCCACUUCAUUUCCAAGUUCAAAAAGCCUUGCAUAAUUCCUUGCAUUGUCAGCAAGCCAAUUUUUCAACAUUUUGUUUAGAUGUGUUUUAGAAAAGGUUUUACUGCCACUUAGUGGACAAAGCACCACAUUGAAACUCAUGCAUAAACAACACCUUUCUACACAAUCACUGUUCUACAGGAUUAGAGAACUUAGUACAGGUUGAGCAUCCCUUAACGAAAUCCAAUAUAUUCCAAAAUUGUC